AGUAAAGAAACUGCUAUGUGCUCCUCAUGAGAGGGGACAGUGCUCAGAGACCAGAUCAGUGCCUGGCACUUUGGGGGCACUCAAAAAUAUGAGAAGUGUGGGGCUUUGGGGUCAGAGAGAGGCACAGAGUGUGGAGAGAGCUGGGGAAGAAUCUGCAGGACACGGUGACACACUGGAUGUGGGGAUGGGGAGAUGACAAGACAAAGAGGACCCCAAGGUUCUGGCCUGAGCAGCUCCAGGGAGGGAGCAGAGGAGCCAGGGAGAAAGGGAGAAAAGAGGUUGAGUUGGCAUGGCUCCCUGUCCCCGAGAGUUCACCACCUAAGCUGGGGGUGCGGGGAGGGAAGGUAUAGGGAUGACAGAAAUAUCUCAUUCAAUUCUCUCUUAUAAAUAGGCAACGAGGAACAUGGGAGAGGGAACAUGUAUAGUUUUAAAUUGCUGAACUCUGAGCAGUUAAAUGAUUUGCUCAAGAGACACAAAAGUUGGUGGCAGCACUUGGAUUUGAACCUGGGGACGAUCCAAGGCCUGUCCAGAGGGUGGAGGGGACAGAAGAGGGCAGAAGAUGCAGAGAGAGAGAGAGAGAAAGAGACAGAGGCAGAGAAAGGACAGAGAGAGAGAAAGGACAGGGAGAAAGAAGCAGAGAAAGAGAGAUUUACAUCAUUGAUCUUGCAUUUCUUCCCACUGGGAAAACAAAAAUAUGUUCACUUUUAGAGCAAUGAGAGGAGACAAAGGCGCCCCACUGUAUGAUAGCUUUGGUGGUUAUAAAUAACUGUCCCCAAAGAAAACACCUGUCAAGACACAUUCACUUCCAGAGAGACGAAUUGUAUCCCCAGUCCAUGUUGAUAUUUAAAUGACUCAGAGUAGAUGUCAGGGGGCGGAGGGCAGAAAGUUGAUCAAUGUAACACAGAAACCUAGCUCAGCUUUCCCAAAAAGCAAUAAAACGGGUAGGUGCGGAGAGCUGUAAAUCUGGAUGAUAAUAAUAUCCGUCCUCGCAAAAGCUACAUGUUUGUUUAUCAUGUUUGCAGGUUUACUAUUGCCCCUCGAAUUUACAGUCAGCAAUCUGCCGGUGAACACAGGGAGGAACACGAGAAUGAGAACAAACUGGCAGAGCACUGAGGAGGAAGAAAUGAUAAAAUAUUUAUCCCCUCACCCCACCCGCUCUGCCCCGGUUGCCUUAAAUCCAAUUUCAAACAAAGGUGGUGAUUUAUCCAAGCAGGGCUGGGCAGCUCUAUUUCAGGCCUCUGACAGCUAAUUGAAAUGAGCAGUCAUUACGGAAUGGAAUGUGUUGCAGCAAAAUGAUUUUUGUGUAUUCUGGAGUCAUUUGCUGAACAAUUAUGGAGAAAUGAACAGUCAGCCAGGGGUGAGACAGAGGGUAUAGCACUUGAUGGCGACAAGACUUUUGCGUGUCCUUUCAAAGUGGGAGACAAGAGGGAGGAAGGGAAAUUCCUUUCUGAGACAUAAGUUAGGUACCUAAACUGUUACCGUAAUUACCUGGGCUUCCAGAACUUGGAAUGCCUAGUUAUUAUCCCAGACCUCCUGAAUCAGAUUUUCUAAAAUAUGGGGACAGGAAGUCCUUUUGUGUUUCCCAAAGCUUCCCAAGUACAGGCAACCCUGCAAUAAGAGAUGGUGCACCAGGAGGGUGGGUUACAAUGAUCCUGUAGACUUGCUGUGAGGCAAAGGUGUGUUUACAAUGGACCUCUUGAUAACUACUGGCCCCAAUGUAGGCACUGCUAUGACAACAGAGCACAAAGCAUUGUUGAUAUUAUCCGUGCAUCCAUGGCUCUUCAUGCAUUUUGAUCUAUGUAUUCCUAUAGUUAGCAUAGUACCUGGCACAUAGUAAGUGCUAUGGAGAUGUCUAUUGAUUUUCUGAAUAAGUGAAUCAAGGAAUAUUAAAGGAUAUUGAAAUAAAAGCCACAAGCCACUUGCCAGACCAGGCCUGACCUAGUCCUUUAGCUGCCCUGAAUAUUACCUCUAGUAAUAUAGAAUUGUUUUUUAUUGUCCCAACCCCAUCUUGGACCCCCAAAGCCAAUGGUGUGGUGCAGUCCACCAGCCCAGCCCUCAACAGCCAACAUAUCUCUUCCCAAACUCACAUUCAGUGGCAUCCCAUGGGUAGUUUAAAAUUGGCCAUGGUAGGAAUAUACACCAUGGAAAUUGGCAAAUGCUACAAAUCAGGUUUUUCUUUUCAUUUCUUCCUUCCUUCCUUUCUUCCUUCCUUCUUUCUCUUCUCUCUUCUCCUUCUCCUUCUCCUCCUUCUGCUUCUCCUUCUUCUUCUUUUUUGGAGGUUUAAACAGUUAAGUAUUUACCAGCACACCACUGCCCAAAGCACACAGGCACGUACCAUGCUAUUUCUUUUCUUUUCCAUGUCUUCAUUCAUACUGUCUCCUCCACUUGAAAGCCUUUAUGUGACUGAUGCCUUGGCCUCCUUAUAACUUCUCUCAGCCUCCUCCUCUUCCAGGCAGCUUCCCCUGACUACAGAGACCAGAUUUGAUUCCUCCUCUAACCUCCCUAAUCACAGCUCUGGACAUAGCCAUUUAGUUUAGUAAUCUAGUGUGUGUGUGUGUGUGUGUGUGUGUGUGUGUGUGUGUGUGUGUCUUACAAGGAUAUGAGCUUCAUUAUGAUGAAACAAAAUCUUCAUUUCUGGAUUCCCAUUGUGCCUCCUGGCACAGACUAUAUGAUGUGCAAAUGUUCAGCUGAUGAAAGAAUGAAUACAUUAAUUAUAUUUAACACCAUCUACCAAUCUGUUGGCCUCAUAAAUCUUUGAGUCAGUGGGUAGAAGGAUCUGGCCUGCCCAGAGAUUGGCCAAGGAGAAAGGGAAACAAGAAACUACAGUGAUGAUAGUAGCUAAUAUUUAUUGAAUAAUAACUCUGUGCUGAGCACUAUGAUGGGAGCUUCACAUAUGUAACAUCAUUGAAGUAUCCCUGGGGGGCAGGGAUUCUUAUUGCCCCUAUUUUUCAGUCGGGGAAACCAAGGCUCAAAAAGGUGAAGUUAUUUUCCCAAGGUCACACAGCUUGGAAAUAAUGGACUUUGAACCCAGGGAGUCUAGUUUCAGAGUCCAUAUAUUUAACCACUAUACUGCAUCCUGGCGGGGGCCAUGUGUGUCCAGAGUCAAGAAGACAGGGUGAGUCUUGCAAGGCAGCAGUGAGGGUUCUGGUAGCAAAGUGCUAGCCUUUCUGGGGCUGAGGACCCGUGGGGUGAGGUGAGAUGAAGAUCAGGCCACCACAAGGGAAGCAGGCUGGGAGCUGGUGGUACAGACGCCUUUGGGUUCUUAGCUGCACAGUUGGUUUAUAGGUUCCCAUGGCAACUGCCAAGCAAUAAUCUCUUAUUCCACAGCUCAGUGGUUCCCUAGAAAUUCUUUCCUCCUCGCUUCCACCACCACAGCCCCCAGCCCAUGGAGGCAGGGUGGCAGUUUCUUCUCCAGGAAUGACUUACACUGGAGAAGAAACCAUAGCCCAAGACCCUUUUGUUACAACAAUGGAGGAGGGAAAUUUGAGAGGAGGCAGAAAAAAAAGAGAAAAGGGACUUAAAAUCUCAAAAGUCAUAUCAUCCAACUGGGAAGGGGCUGGGAGAGGAAGAGGAAUUCUCAGACCCCCUUAAAAAUCUAAUGAAAACCAUGAGUUGUUUCUCCAGAAAAAUGAGUGCAAGCACAUAUACACAUGCACGCACGCAAAGUUUUAUGUAUAGUUUUAAGGAACAUUUGGACCCCUUGGGACCGAAAUUAGGAAAUUAAAAAUCAACGAAUCCAGUGGUUUCCAAAUUAGGGCAGUGGAACCCUAUCUUUAAUCAAAACCAAGUGCAAAAUCCUAAUCUCUAAUGGUGGUUCUCAAGCAGAAAUGAUUUUUCACCCCAGGGGAUAUUCAGCAAUGUCUGGAGAAAUUUUUGGUUUUCAUAACCAGGGGAAGGGGGAGUUGCUGACGUCAUCUAAUGGGUAGAGGGCAAUGAUGCUGCUCAAUGUACUCCAAUGCACAGAACAACCCACCACAAUGAAGUGUGAUCUGACACAAAAUGUCAACAGUGUCGACUUUGACAAGCGCUGGUGUAAUAUAAUAAAUAAAGAAACUACCAGACCAUCAGUAGAGGAUCUCAAAUUCACAUGGCAAGAGGAGACAGAUGUGUACCACAAGUGAGUUAAGUGUGAAGUAAUUUCACAUACUGAACACAAAAGAAUACUUCUCAUUUCCACAAAGAAAUAUAUUCUACCCCUGUAAUUUUCAUGAAACAUGGGGUUCUCAUAGCCUUUUUUCAAUUCUCACUUUUGAUAAAGACAUAUAGAGAAAUGUACUUCUCUACUACAAGAAAAAUAUGCCGGCACAGUACUAAAUGGCAGCUAACUCUAUAUCAAAGAACCAAUAGGGAGUGGUGGGAACAGGAUAUCAUCUGUUUCAGUGACAUCACAGAAAAGUAUAGAGUAGGGAAUUAAAAGAAUUAGUCUCUCCACUAAAACAACCAUAAGGUGGUAAAGACUGAAAGAAUAAACGUUUUGGAACUUGGGAAUUUAAUCCAAAACUUACAACAACCAAGGGAACGCUUAAUGAAGAAAAGAGAAGCUGAAUUUCACUAUUUAAGGAAAUCUUUGUUGGGUCACUGUCUAACCACUGAGAUGGUGGAACAGAGACUUCACUGACCACACAUGACAAGGAAUACAGACUUUGCGAAAAUAAUUUGGAAAAGUUACUAAACAAAUGAACAGUUGCAGCCUCCAACAAUCAACAACAGUAAAUCCUGGGAGCAGGGAAAACAUGAUAUCCAGAGUUACCACUAUAUAAUACUCAACACAACCAGCUUUCACAAGGCAUGCAAAAGAAUGGGAAAGUAUGACUUAGUCAAAGGGAAAAAUAAAUAAAUUAACAGAAAUCAUCCCUGAGAAAGCCCAGACGUUGGAGUAACUUGACAAUAACCUUAAAUAAAUGGUUCCAAAUAUAUCUGAGCAAUUAAAGGAAACCAUGAACAAAUAACUAAAGUAAAUCAGGAAAAUGAUGUAUGAAUAAAAUGAGAAUAUCAGAAACAAUAUUGAAACUAUAAAAAGAAACCAAAUAGAAAUUCUAGACCUGUAAGGUAAAAUAACUGAAAUCAAAACUCACUAAAGGGGUUCAGUAGCUGAUUUGAGCAGGCAGAAACAAAGAAUCAGUGAGCCAGAAGAUGGAAAAAUUAGAAUGAUCUGGUCUGAGGAACAGAAAGGAAAAAGAAUAAAGAAAAGUGAACAGAGCCUAAGGAACAUAGGACACUAUCAAGAAUAACAACAUAUGCAUAUAGGAGUUCCUGAGGAAGGAGAGAAAGAUAAAGGGAUAUAAAGAAUAGUUGAAAAAAUAACAGUUCAACACUUCACAAAUUUGAAUAAAUACAUGAAUCUAUACAUCCAAAAGCUCAAUAAACUCUUAGUAGAAUAAACUCAAGGACAUUCACUUUGAGAUAUAUUAUAAUCAAAUGGCCAAAAAACAAAAACAAAGAGAACCUUGCAAACAGUAAAAGAGAAGUGAUUUGUCCCAUACAAGGAAUCCUCAAUAAGAUUAACAGCCAAUUUCUCAACAGAAAUCAUGAAAGCCAGAGGGCAGUGAGACAUUAAAAGCCCUGAGAGAAAAAUAAAACUGCCAACAAAGAAUUCUAUAUCCUGCAAAACUAUCCUUCAAAAAUAAAGGAGAAAUGGAGACAUUCCUAGAUAAACAAAAGCUGAGGGAGUUCCUUGCUAGUAGAUCUGCCCUACAACAAAUGCUAAAGGGAUACAUUCAGGCUGAAAUGAAAAAACAGUAGACAGUAACACAAGGCCAUGAAGGAUUAAUGAACUCUGAUAAAGGUAAAUACAUAAGUAAAUAUAAAAUCCAGUAUUGUUGUGUUUUUAUAUAAUUUGUGACCCUACAACACAAAGGUGAGGAAGGGAGAUGGUAGAGCUGUAUAGGAGAAUUUACAUCCCAUGAAGGAGAUGGCUACAACUUAGCUUUAGUCAAUUAUUCCUACAUAAGCUACAGUUUCCAGAGCUUCCAAUUUUUUCAAGAAACUUUUAGGUAAAAUCUCUUACCUUUUUAUCAUUUAAAACACAAUGUUGGUCAAACAGAACAUAUUUAUAGAUUACAUGUGGCCCCAUGAUCAGCUGGCUUGUGAACAUUAUACUGGAGAAGCCCGAAACCGAUGGUAUUUUACUCUCUAUGAUCUAUACAUAGCUUCAAUCUUCCUUCUGCCUCUUAUUAAGUUUAUGAGGCCAGAAAUCUGCAGUUGACAAUAAGUGGUUGCCCUGGGGAGGAUAGUGCCUGGUCUCUCAGGAAGAAAGGCAGGGCUUUGAAGAGGGAGGAUAAAGGUUUCUGCCCCAGAGGUAGAACCCUCCGGAUCACUCUGAACAGGGCUUUCUUGAUCUGUAAUCUAGAAGACAGGUCCUCAGUAUAUGGUGGUACAGAUUGUGCACUGCAAACUCUGGUUGGUGUGGGACUGCUGGGAGGUAGUGUAUGGCCUGGGGUCUAAUUCCCUUCCCCCAAGCAGGUGAGUAUGUAAAUUAGUCCCAGAGCUAGAGAACCAAAGCCAGAAGGGAGCUUGCAAACCACUGGCUUCAAACCCUUUAUUUAUCACAGUGAGAUUGGGACACUGAUAAUGGGAAGAACUUGCUUGAAGCAAAACCAGUGGCUAUGAUGAGUAAAGAAUUGCUGACAUUAAACAAAAAUUGAACCAGUUCAGGCACUCUGCUAAACACUUUACAUAGACGAACUCAAUUAACCUUCACAAUUCUAUGGCAUUUUGCACAUGGGGAAAUUGAAACUCAUGGAGGUGAAGUCACUUGCCCAAAAGUCACACAGAGGAAUAGAGAUUCACGCCCAGGCUGUCAGCAUCAGAACCUGUGCCCUUUAUUUGUUUAUGGAUGUGUAGUCUGCACAAGAACAGCUCAUCCCUGUUCCACUGGGCAUUGGCUGGCAACGAGAAUCUUCUGACUGCUCAUCUCUCAUAUGUCAAGGGGUUGGAACACCUGGGCAUCUCUCUCUAUCCCCAUGUGGUCUCUCCAGCAUGGCGGCUUCAUGGAAGCAUUUCUUAUUGGUGGUCAGGGAUCCCAAGGCAUGUGUCCUGAGAGAGGGGGCAGGCAAGUGUAUUGAUUUUAUAGAUCUAGCCUCAGAAGCCACAGAGCAUAAUUUCCUCAUAGUCACAAGCCCACCCAGAUUCGAAGGGAGGGGACAUAGACUCUAUCUUUGAUGGGGAAGGCAACAUUCCACUGUAAAAACAGUACAUGGGAUGUGAGAUCAUGGUGUAGCAUCUUUGAAUAGUAUUAGCUGUCAUGUUGGGUGAGGAAAAGUAGAGAAACUUUGGGGAGAACUGACUCACCGCAACUGGGGCACAGUUCUGGGAUCGCCCUUGGUUUGACUCACUAUUUGCUUCAAGGUACCUCAAAAGGGUAUGCAUGGAGAUCAGAAGUAGAGAAUUGCGAGUUGUAGAAAAUUUCUGGAAGGGGCUGGAUGACGUCUGUAUGCCCCUCUGAAUCCACUCCCCUGCCUCUCCUCCUUACCUUCUUCUCAGGAGGUUGACCUGUGUGGGCUGUGUCAGAAGAGAGCUGGCAGGAGAUUGGGGACGGGAGCAGAGGGAGGUAGGAAAUUUAUUCUUCUGGCCUCCUCCCUGCAGGGCAGCUGUAGGCUGGCUCUGCCUUGGAUCACACCCUUACUUUUGCUUCUUUGCACAUUCUCUCCUUCCAAGUUCCAGGAGCUGCCCCUUUCCUUCCUCCUUUUGAGUCUGGAAGUGGAAACAGUUUCCUAGGUCACCACACUCUCCUGAGGGUCCCCCACACUCUGAUGACAAUUUCAUAAACAUCCAUCCAUAAUAAAAUCUUCCUUGGAUUAUCCUAAUCUCCUCCUGGGAUUCUGACUGAAACAUACAGAGACUGACAUCUAGUUGCCUCUCUAAUAUCAUUCAUUCAUUGAUUCAUUUAUUCAUCCAUCAUUCAUUUAUUUGCAUGUUCACUCACCCCUUGGCAAUUAUUUGGCUCACACAGUCACUCCACACUGCACCCUCCCUCCACUUAUCCAACACACCCCACAAAAGCAUCCAGUCCCCUGCCUCCAGAUCCAGGCUGCUCCAUGAGGACUGAACCAUAGUGUGACUUUUCCAGCAACUCUUUCUUCAGCCAAAAUCUAUGUAUUCCCCUCUCUAAUCAUGGAACUGGAUUUUGUUCAGAAAUACUAUACCAACAAAGCCCUGCCUUCUCCAGGUCUCAGUCCUCCCCACUGUAACCCCAAGGUGGUGGGCUGAGUGAUCCCCUAAGGAUUCAGUGCAUCCUUGAAAUGGGAAGUCUAGGGGUGUAUGCAGGACUUGGAAUCGCAUGAACCAACUCACUGAGAGAAACGAGGUCCAAGAGGGGAAGAGCCUUGCCCAAGGGCACAUAAUAUUUCACACCUACAUUCCCUGUUGUCAAAACUCUGAUUUAGAGGGGGCGGCAGGAUUGUGUGCCUUCUCUCUGCAUGUCAAUGGGCUGAGUGAACCAAGGCCACAGGGCCCCAAGCUGAGACUGGCAGGAGCCUGACCUAGGAAAAACCGCACCCAAUUCCUUGCCUUUGUCGGCUUUCCUGGAAAGCCGACCAUCCACCCUUCCCUCACCUCCCAGUUCUGUGCAAAGUGUUUAAUUAAUAAACAUACCUUUAAAGCAA